rnacentral:rRNA from 1 species
UACGGAGGGUGCAAGCGUUAUCCGGAUUUACUGGGUUUAAAGGGUGCGUAGGUGGGUUGGUAAGUCAGUGGUGAAAUACUUUCGCUUAACGAAGGAACUGCCAUUGAUACUAUCAAUCUUGAAUGUAGUGGAGGUAGGCGGAAUGCGUCAUGUAGCGGCGAAAUGCUUAGAUAUGACGCAGAACACCAAUUGCGAAGGCAGCUUGCUACACUACUAUUGACACUGAGGCACGAAAGCGUGGGGAUCAAACAGG